rnacentral:rRNA from 1 species
GGCCUAACACAUGCAAGUCGAACGCUCGGGCAACGGGAGUGGCAGACGGGUGAGUAACACGUGGGAACGUACCCUUUGGUUCGGAAUAACCCUGGGAAACUAGGGCUAAUACCGGAUACGGCCGAGAGGCGAAAGGUUUACUGCCAAGGGAUCGGCCCGCGUCCGAUUAGCUAGUUGGUGUUGGUAACGGCUCACCAAGGCGACGAUCGGUAGCUGGUCUGAGAGGAUGGCCAGCCACAUUGGGACUGAGACACGGCCCAAACUCCUACGGGAGGCAGCAGUGGGGAAUAUUGGACAAUGGGCGCAAGCCUGAUCCAGCCAUGCCGCGUGAGUGAUGACGGCCUUAGGGUUGUAAAGCUCUUUUACCUGGGAAGAUAAUGACGGUACCAGGAGAAUAAGCCCCGGCUAACUUCGUGCCAGCAGCCGCGGUAAU